rnacentral:misc_RNA from 1 species
AUCUUUCAAUGAAGGGCUUACCGAAACAUAUCAGUUGUUGUAUAAGGUGGUGGUUUUACCUGUUAAUGCGGGAGAGGGAAAGUGAGAUCGAGCGAUUUGUUAAUCAAGUGAAGGAAGUAUAUAUAUUUGUCUUAAUCUUUGAACGCGUUGGGAAUCUAAUAAAAAAGACAUACACAAGGUGUCCGCAGCUCUAGAGAGAGAAAAUUUUCUUGAUAGGGAAUGGAAAAAAGCAAGAAAAAGACAAGCUUCUGUACCACAUCAAGAGAGAGACAGAGAGG